GAUCAUGGCUCAGGAUGAACGCUAGCGGCAGGCCUAACACAUGCAAGUCGGAGGGGCAUCGGGAUUGAAGCUUGCUUCAAUUGCCGGCGACCGGCGCACGGGUGCGUAACGCGUAUGUAACCUACCUAUAACGAGGGGCAUAACACUGAGAAACUUGGUACUAAUUCCCCGAUAAUAUUCGGAGAGGCAUCUCUCCGGGUUGAAAACUCCGGUGGUUUAUAGAUGGACAUGCGUUGUAUUAGCUUAG
rnacentral:rRNA from 1 species